UACGGAGGGGGCUAGCGUUGUUCGGAAUUACUGGGCGUAAAGCGCACGUAGGCGGCUUUGUAAGUUAGAGGUGAAAGCCCGGGGCUCAACUCCGGAAUUGCCUUUAAGACUGCAUCGCUAGAAUUGUGGAGAGGUAAGUGGAAUUCCGAGUGUAGAGGUGAAAUUCGUAGAUAUUCGGAAGAACACCAGUGGCGAAGGCGACUUACUGGACACAUAUUGACGCUGAGGUACGAAAGCGUGGGUAGCAAACAGG
rnacentral:rRNA from 1 species